UACGUAGGGGGCUAGCGUUGUCCGGAAUCAUUGGGCGUAAAGAGCGUGUAGGCGGCCCGGUAAGUCCGCUGUGAAAGUCGGGGGCUCAACCCUCGAAUGCCGGUGGAUACUGUCGGGCUAGAGUGCGGAAGAGGCGAGUGGAAUCCUGGUGUAGCGGUGAAAUGCGCAGAUAUCAGGAGGAACACCCGUGGCGAAGGCGGCUCUCUGGGACGGUACUGACGGCUGAGACGGCGAAAGCGUGGGGAGCGAACAGG
rnacentral:rRNA from 1 species